GUUCAAUUCCAAGUGAGUCGAUAUUUAUUAUUUCCUUUGUGUCAUAAUACAUAAGUACAUUAUUAAAUUUGUGUAUCGCUAUUUGACGUCCGCGUAUGUCAAAAUCGCCCACGUAGUAUAUCUGAAACUUCCAUUCUACCAUUAUAUAAGUUACCCCACUUCCCUUCAUUAUUUACCCGCAACCUAUUCCCGUUUUGGCAGCCUACUCAAAAUUCCGGCCACUUUUCGACGAGUUACUCACUUGUUCAAUCCGGUCAAUUUCCACCAUCACCUCCACCAUUUUCUUCACUGUUGCUCCACACCACCACAUUGCUCCACCACAAGCAUGCAUCACAAAUCUUCACCUACUUCGUAAUUGUUGCUCCACCAGACCACCACCACGUUGCUCCACCAUCCCCAUCACUUCCAACAUCUUCUUCACUGUUUCUACCACCAUCACGUCGCUCCACCACCACUACCUCUAUUUCGUCCACGUAAGACGACGCACUACCACCAUCAUGGACGACAAUGUUCCUUCUUCACCGUGGUCGUCGGCAAUGUGGCACGCCUCGUCGGGGGAGGUUUGAAAACAGGGGAAGGGGUAGGGGUGCCGCCCGUGUUUAGUAGCUCUAACCAUGGACCUGCAGCCCGUGUUUGGCGGCCACCACCAUGGCCAUGCCGCAGAUCUUGAGCGACCUGGCCAUGGUGGCGGCAGCAAAACAAGGACGAGUGUUAAUUUUUUUUUAAAAAAUCGUACCAGUCGAAGCGCCGCAUGCGGUGGUUUGGCCGGAGGAGGCAUCACAACUCCUCUCUUCGGCGACAUCUUCUCGGAUUCGUUCGUUUUCCGGUUAGCUCUGUUGGAACGCUCCUCCUUCGUGCAAACGUGCUCAUGUGUGCUCCUCGGACAAAGCCGACACAGAACUGAGGUGACAAUCACUAGUAAGAGCGCACAACUGUGGGGGGGGGGGGGAAAUUUAUUUUUGUAAAGGGUGUUAUCGUACUUUUACCAUUAAUAAGCGAGCGAUUUCGGUGUGUUAGGACGUCGAUUAAAAACUACCUUAAAUUUGACUACAUCGACUUGUUAUUCGUAUAAGAGAUAAAAUAUGUUUAUAACUUAUUUGGUGUCUUGUUAUAUUGACGUGUAAUAGAUGUACAAAUCACAUAAUUAUAAGGUAGUCUAAGACUACCAUAAUUGACCCAAUCUGACCGAUAUUUCACAAAAGCUGAAGUGCCCCGAAGAAAGAAAUUUAUACAUUCAAUCAGUGUGGGUCAAUGACGCCGCAUAAAACCCAAUUGAAUCCGAACCGAUUGGACCAAAUCCAUAGCCGACUGAUGACCGGAUUUGAUAUCCCUUAGCUUAGAUUAGGCUUGAAUGUUAAUUGGGCUUGUCGGCUUGAUGAUAGAGUUGGCGAACAACACAAUUAUAGAAUUUAGCCCAUUUAUGACCCCAAAACAACCCGCGACCACAUGAGCCAUUUCUGCACUUCUCUAUUCUCUGGUUUCAACUUUCAAGUAUUGAAGACGAUCAUCUUCAACCUCAACAGCAGACGCCUAAAAGUCCAAAACCUACGCUGUAUUUGAAACAAGUUUCCUUCCUACAAAUCACGACAUUACUUGAUUUCCAUUAGAACUAGGCAAGUUCUUCUCAUCUCAUGGAUUUUUUAUGUAUGGCAAUUUCCAUUCGCUGGCAAGUCAAUUUUCUCAAUAAGGAAGACAAAAGGCCCUUGAUCUUCAGGAUAUACGAGUAUGAGCCGACAGCAAAGUUUCUCAGAAUAAUGUAAACAUGGUGCGUGCUAUAGCUUGGGACAUAGGUCAGAGGUUCGGUUGAUCCUAGAAGAUGCAGAGUCCUGUAAGUUUAUGUUAUUUGGAUAUAAGCAUCUCCAUCUGAUAUUCCACAUAUGCUUUCAAGUCUUUGAAUCUUUGAUUGUGUGACUACAAGUGCUAUCGUCAAGAAUAUAGAAAACUUUACAUUCAUGAAAUUGAAAAUUGUGGUUAAAGACAAGGAAUAGAAUUAUGUAAUUGUAAAUGAUUAAAUUUGAUCUUGCCUAUGGUGGUUGGAGGGGGCAGUGAUUUAUCUUGUCUUAGAGGAAAAGAAAGGAAAAGCUUUUACAAAAAGUUGAGGAGUACUAGAUUUGCAUGUGCACAGAUUUAAGUAGGGAAAGCUUGGAGCCUCGGUUAAUUUAUACAGUGUAUUAUUAUUGGAUAAAUCGGAUAGAUUGUUAAGGUUUUACGACCACAAAAGGAGUCAUGGACCAUUGCGUCAUACGUUAGGUGCUCCAUGGAGUCAUGGACCAUGGUAACUAGGAAUUGUAACGUAGGAGCCUUGGAAAAUAUUAUGCCAUUCUUAGAAUGCUCAAACUCAGUUACAAAUGUUAGUCUUUUUCUAUGGUAAUGACUUAUGUGUGACCAAUGUCAUGAUCAAGACACGUAGACAAAGAUACGUUCCUUCAACUUGUUAUGAAUAUAAAUAGGGGAUUUUUAUUCGACGCCCUAUUCGGUUAAAAAGCGCCCUAAUUUAUUGCGUGAAAGUACGAAAUUACCCUCCCCUUCACCUUCACCUUCAUCUCUGCUCUUCCCCUCCCUCCAUCCUUCACGCCGGCCACUUAUUCCGGCCAACCAGUCCCUUCACACUCGUGCUUUCUUUGCGCCGCCCCCUCCCCCGCCGCACUCCCCUGCCCACCUCUAUUUUCCGUUCAAGUAAUUUGCGCCCCCCCUCGCCGCACUCCCCUGUAACUGCGUUCAUAGUUUUCUAGGCUUAAUCUCUCCUGGGUUUUGGAAGCAUCGACGCCUCAUCCUCCUCCUCCUCCAUUAGCGCUGCCGUGAAAGGACUGAUGCAGCUCCGUGGACCGCUCGUCGGGACUAAUAGGUGGUUAUGCAUGAUAUAACCGUUUGUAUAUUGCAAAAUACUUCGGAUAACCAAAAG